UGUGCAUAAGAGACACUGGUGUCACAUCUGUCAGGCAAUGUUGAUAAUCUUAUUAAAAGUGAUGUUUCCACUGUGCUUAAUGUUUUUCUUCUUCUUUCUGUCCCUUGGCAGUUCCUUGAAGGCUUUGAUA